UACGUAGGGACCAAGCGUUGUUCGGAUUUACUGGGCGUAAAGGGCGCGUAGGCGGCUUAACGAGUCACUUGUGAAAUCUCCGGGCUUAACUCGGAACGGCCAAGUGAAACUGUCAAGCUAGAGUGCAGAAGGGGCAAUCGGAAUUCUUGGUGUAGCGGUGAAAUGCGUAGAUAUCAAGAGGAACACCUGAGGUGAAGACGGGUUGCUGGGCUGACACUGACGCUGAGGCGCGAAAGCCAGGGGAGCAAACGGG
rnacentral:rRNA from 1 species